rnacentral:rRNA from 1 species
UACGUAGGGUGCAAGCGUUGUCCGGAAUUAUUGGGCGUAAAGAGCUCGUAGGCGGUUUGUCGCGUCUGCUGUGAAAACGCGAGGCUCAACCUCGCGCCUGCAGUGGGUACGGGCAGACUAGAGUGCGGUAGGGGAGAUUGGAAUUCCUGGUGUAGCGGUGGAAUGCGCAGAUAUCAGGAGGAACACCGAUGGCGAAGGCAGAUCUCUGGGCCGUAACUGACGCUGAGGAGCGAAAGCGUGGGGAGCGAACAGGAUUAGAAACCCCAGUAGUCC